UACGUAGGGACCAAGCGUUGUUCGGAUUUACUGGGCGUAAAGGGCGCGUAGGCGGCAAUUCAAGUCAUCUGUGAAAUCUCCGGGCUUAACUCGGAACGGUCAGAUGAUACUGCUUUGCUAGAGUGCAGAAGGGGCAAUCGGAAUUCUCGGUGUAGCGGUGAAAUGCGUAGAUAUCGGGAGGAACACCUGUGGCGAAAGCGGCGCACUGGACCACAACUGACGCUGAGGCGCGAAAGCUAGGGGAGCAAACAGG
rnacentral:rRNA from 1 species